rnacentral:misc_RNA from 1 species
AUUUCAACUAAAUGUGACACAUGCCUGCAAUGCUCAUAGCAGUGUCCACCUAUGUGAUAUGCAAUUAAUGGUUGGAAUUGGAUGAUGUCCUUGAAAAAUGGCAUCAAGCACCAAGCAUAUUGGAACACCAUUAGUUUACUGUGCUAGGGAAUGGAAGAGAGAAAAGGGGGGAAAACAAGAAGGAAAAAGAGUAGAGGUGAAAUCUAGGUUUAUUGAUACUGGUCAUUUAUAUUCCCUCG